GGAAACUUCUGCUAAUCCCGGAAUGAGCCGAAAGGUAAAAGAUUUAUCGCCGGGAUGAGCUCGCGUCUGAUAGCUAGUUNGUGAGGUAAAGGCUCACCAAGGUCAACGAUCAGUAGCUGGUCUGAGAGGAUGAUCAGCCACACUGGGACUGAGACACGGCCCANACUCCUACGGGAGGCAGCAGGGGGGAAUUUUCCGCAAUGGGCCCAAGCCUGACGGAUCAAGACCGCGUAGGGGAGGAAGGCUCUUGGGUUGUAAACCUCUUUUCUCAAGGAAGAACACAAUGACGGUGCUUGAGGAAUAAGCCUCGGCUAACUCCGUGCCAGCACCCGCGGUCUUACGGACGAGGCCAGCGUUAUCCCGAAUGAUUGGGCCUCAAGCGUCCGUAUGUCCCAGUUCAAGUCUGCUGUCAAAUACAGUACCUCAACUACUGAAAGGCAGUGGAAACUGACCCUCUAAACUACGGUAGGGGCACAGGGAAUUCCCGGUGUACCGGUCAAAUGCGUAUAUUUCGGGAAGAACACCUGUCCGAAACGCUGUUGGGCCGUAACUUACACUGAGGGAAGAAAAAUUUGGGAUCUAUUGGGC
rnacentral:rRNA from 2 species